AAUCUUUUCCACUUGGCUUUGUAUCUCGAGAAGCCAGUACUCCUCUUGAUCCUGCUCCUGAUGAAUCCUUUCUGCUUUCAUUUGUACCCUAAGGAAUCCAUGCCCCUUGUGGUCCUGUAGUGAUGUGCACUAGAGAGACCCUAGAUACAGAUCCUACACUUUGUCAGGAACUGACAUACCCUCUGGUGGGACACCCUACAGAACCUACUCUUUGUCUGGAACCAGCACAACCUCUGGUGUGUCACCCUACAGAAUCUAUAUUGAACCUAUAUUGAACCUCUUAACUAUGUCUAAUUUAAAACAUCUUAAUCAAAUAAAUGACCAUUAAACCCUUUAAAUUCAUUAAUAUCAAAACCAAUAGGAAGUGCCUAAUAAAAUGUCACGCAUCCAAGCUAUGAGUUUGUGCAGGAACUGUAAUGACACAC